GAAACCUAAUCAUGCUCAUUGCUGUUUGAACAUCUUUCACAUUUUUCCUUUCUUUUACCUGCCUUCUGCAUUAUACAAGUAUAGGAUGGUACAACCUCCUCCUUAGGUUACUGCAGCAGCUAGAUUGUAAAAUCUUUGCAUACGAUGAUUAUAUUUGUGAUCUUGAGUAUGCCCUUCUAUUUCCUCUCUCAGAUGUGGAAAUUAUGACACUAUCACAUUCAGUCUUCCCUAAACACCAUAAGAUUGAUAGAUCUCAACUUUACAACCUCUGAUUUCAUCAAACAAGGCACCAGGAGUCCAACCAUGAUUUUGUGGACAGCGUAGCUGGGUUCUCAGCCUAACCACACACCAGAAGCCCUCCAUUCCAGACUUAUUGAAUCAGCAUGUCCAGAAUAGUUUCCAGCUUUGUUUGAAAGGAGGCCCCUCCAUCAGGAAAUCUGUCCCCCUUGGAGGGAAGAAUUAAUCCUGGAAAAGAAGAAGGAAAAAAAAAAUCUCAAAACUCUGUCAAAAUAGAACACAAGGCUCUGGGGGCAGGGAUGUGAGGCAGGAGCUUAUUUGCUAUGGAAAGAUGCCUCUAUUUGACUCGAGAGGAAGUUAUCGCUCAGAGAGGCUGGCAUAGAGCGUGAACGUGUAAAUGCUGCUCCAAAGUGAGUCUCAGACUUCAAGAGCCAAAAAUAAACCGGUUCUUGGCUGAAAGACAUAAGUGCAAUUGUGAAAUUGAUACUCCUCCUUGGCCGGGUCCCAGACAAUAUGUUGCCUUUCGGGGGCUGAUCAGCGUGAUUGAUGUGACCUGUGAAAUCCAGGGGGGCGCUCCCCCUUCAUCAGACCCUCCAGAGAAGCAGCUGCGACUAACAAGUGCUUCAAGCAUCCUCCGUCCAGGUCCCCCUAGAAACCUGACAGCCCAGAAGGAGAAAAAGGUGGCAAAACAGCCACCAAGCAAACUCCACCCUGGAAAAGGACAGAAAAGAGAGAAAAAGACGAGCUAUGGAUUGGGACAUAAGAUGGCAGCAACUGAACAGUGUAUUGCCUUUCAAAGAGAAAUUCAGACUUCACUUUGAAUGUCAAAACAAACUUGCUGAAGGCGGGCUGCUAAGUUGGUUCUUUUUUCUUUCCCCCCUAAAAAUAGGGACUUUUCUGUUUCUCUCUAAUGGGGAUGAUCCAUGGCUCAGAGACUGCAUCCCUGUUUUUCCAUCUCCCUCUCCAGUUUCCAUGUUUGCAUCCUCUAUCAGAGAGUUGUGAUCAUCUGCCCCCUAAAUAACAUGUGAAGAUAAAGUCAGAGGGAGAAAAAUGACUUAAAUUCUUCCAGGGAACCAACGUUAAGCUUGCACACUCCCUGUGGGUGUCGGGGUGGUGGAUUCUAACACCAGCCCCCUGAUUCCUAAUCAUUAGCUUAGCACUUGUCCUGACUCUUCUCCACUGCUACCAGGGAAGGAAGAGGGCUAUCGCCUUGGAGGUUUUGCAUUUCCUAAGGCAAAUGUUUCUAAACCUGUGACAGAUUGGCACUGCUCCUUUUUUUUUUUUUUUUUCCUACAGCCAUCAUAAUGACUCAGAUUGAUUUUAGCUUAAAAGAUCAACACCGGGGUAUAAUUCACUUUUUCAGGGUUUCUUUUAAUGUGGAAAGUCUUCCAAAUUGGUUAACCUUACCACACACUUUCCUGCAUUGUUGUCCUAUUUGCACAUAAUAUCCUGGUGCCAGAUUGUCAGCUAAUUAUGUCACAAGCAAUCAGCUAACAAAGCAUAGCCAUUCUCGCCUGGAGAAUGAGCCUUGUUUCAAAGCUACUCCAAGGGAAAGAAAAAAAAAAAAGAUAAACCCCUUUCAUUAAAGAAAUCUGGAGUGAGGGUUUUAUUUAACUCUACUCGUUUCAGCACUGCUGUUGUAGGGAUGUUGUAUGGCGAGUUAUUUCUUAAGCAGCUGCAAGUGCCCUGGAGCCUCAUGGAGCCUGUGGUGUAUCUCUACAUACCUGGGAAGACAAGUGAGUAUUUGGGAAACCUCUGUGAUGUCAAUCCGCAAAAUGAAAACUAGUAAGUUAUUUUCCUCCGAAAGACCUGUUUUUGGCUUAGUCUCAUUGAAUGAUACCUCAGUUUUCUUCUGUAAAGAUUAAAUCUGGAGCAAGACUACAGCGACUUUUUAAUUCUCUAUUUUAUUGGAGAUGAGACUUAGCAAAGACAAGCAAACCAAGAGAAACCCCAUGACCACGGACGGUAGGAGCCUUUGGGAUAGGAGAAGCAUGGAGUUGUUUCCAUCUGGAAACAUCUGGAUGUUGUCAGUGGUAGGUGCCUACCGGAGAGCCCUAUGGGGUAUUGGCACUCAGGAGAGACUAGUUUCCCCUUUCCUGUAGGCAAACUAAAAUUAGCUCUCAGUUUUGGAGCACAUGCACAUUGGGUGGUAGA